rnacentral:lncRNA from 1 species
UUAUAAAUAAAGGACUAAAUAUAAAUUUUAUAUAAAAACUAGACUUUUCUAUAAAACUGUUGUAAAUGUGAUUCAGUGAACAACAUCUUUGUGUGGUGAGAAAAUAUGCAGUGAAUUGUGCUAAUAUCAAAGAGGGGCACUGAGUGAAGCUUACUGUAUGCUUCCAUUGUACCAGUUCUCAUUGACAUACUGGAUUAUACGGGAGAUACUCUGUUUUUCUAGAACUGUCUGGAAAAAAAUAAAAACAUUUCUCUCCUUUGUCUGCUUGUGCAGUUAUAUAAAUCAGCAGGGCCAGAACCCCAAUGUAUAAUGUUGGGCUAGACCAAGCAGAGCUCAUACCAUGCUGUCUAAUUAACAAUGCCUUCUCACUGUGGUGGGAACACUGUGUGUAGUUGUUAACCAUUCUUCUCCUUUUGUGUCCUCACUGAGUUCUUGCCACACAUUCUUGGAGCCUCUGAGUCACUGAACUUGCUCCUCUAUACUUGCAGUUGGUUCUGUCUUUGUAGAAUACUCUGUGUGUAACUGUACGCAUACCUGUCUUCUCAUCAUCCAGUUUCACUUUAGCAGUUCCAUCAUGGCAUAGUCUCUGAAAAUCCUACUAGCAACAUGAAAUCACCUGUUUUUAAUAUGCUCACUCUUUUGCUUUAUGGUUGAUCCUCAUUUACUCCUUUAGAAUAUAGAUCCCAUGAGAUUAAGGUAGGUGAUGGCAAAUUAAGACCCAUAGCCAAAUCUUGCCUGCCAUCUACUUUUAUAUAGUUCACAGACUGAUUUUUUUCUAUUUUAUUAAACUGUUUAAAAACAAUACUUUGUAGCAUGUAAAAUCAUAUGAAAUCCAAUUUUAAUGUUUUAUCAAUAAAGAUUUAUUGUG